UGCUCUCGAAUGCUUGCCCGAUAUA
rnacentral:rasiRNA from 1 species